GCGAGAGCGAGAGCGAGAGCGAGAGCGAGAGAGAGAGAGAGAGAGAGGGAGAGAAUUCUAAUCAGGGCUCUGCACUGGCAGGGCUUGAAUUGAUGAACUGUGAGAUCAUGACCUGAGCCAAAACCAAGAGUUGGACGCUUAACCUACUGAGCCACCCAGGUUAGCUGCCCUAUUCUCUCUGGAUAGAUCCUUUUUCUGGCAAAUCAGAGUCCUUCAUUUUCUUGGCACAAGGACUGGCCUGGAGAAGCUAAAAGGAUAUCAGUCUGGAGAAAGCUGAGGGUAGACAUAGAAGAAGCCAAAUGGAGACCAGAGGAAAUGAGGGAAGCAGAAGAACAGACUUACAGAAGGAAUGAUCUGAGGUGAAUGUAUAGGGUUAGAGUGUGCUUUUUGGCACAGACCCUUGUGCCUGAUGCUGCCCUGGAGCCAACUGGAGGCAGAUGGUCCUGCUGACGACGGGUCAGAAGGUCAGUGGUCACCUACCUCUACGUCACAAUCCUGCGUCCUUCACCCGACUUCUCAUCACAGAGGCAUUUUCUCAUCUCACAUCAUCACAAGUAGGGGCUCAUGAAAGAUACAAGCUCAAGACAAAAGAGAACAAGAAAACCUUGGAACCAGAUUUCUGGUCACAAUAAAGAGAUUACUUUAAG